AAGAAGUAGUGUGUUCAGCCAGUGCAGUCAUCUGUAGAGAAUGACCUAGCUUCCCUGAAAUUUGGCAACUUGCCGUCUCUGACAUGUUGAUCUAGACCAAAGAUGGGGCAUUUUCUUUUUCAUAUUCUCCUUCCAUCCCUUUGGAAUUUGAUAAAGGGAGCCUGAGAACCUACCACAGCACCGGAGAUAAGCUUAGAUGUUGCCAGGAGCAGGAGGGGUGCAUACCUACUGUACAGGACUACCAGAAUGCUAAACGAUCAGGAGGGAAAGAGUGUGAAAUUCAUGAUGAGAAAUGCAUAUACACUGUUUACAGGCUAUUUAGAUUGGGAAGACUGAGGAUCUGUGAAUCUGGAAGGAAGAGCUGAUGCUGACAAGAGGAGUUUACAAAAAGGAGUGGCCUUGGAAAGAAGGUGAAGAUAUCAACUGGAGAAAAGAUCCUGGAAAUCAGGGAGAUAUGUGCAGAAAGACGCAGAGUGAAGCCCAGCGACCCUAGCCGAUGAUGCCUGAGACAGGUCACUGGGAGCGGUGGCAUGGCAGGAGCUGACCUAAUUUUCUGUAGGCAUUCCCAAGCCAACAGUAACCUCCCUGGGAGGAAGGGAGGUCAAGACCUAGUAAAUGUAGUGCUAGGGCUGGGGAGAGUGAGUGAGUGUGAGGGUAUGAGAUAAUCAAGUAGGUUAAAAGUAUUAAUCUUCCUUCUUAAAUAAACCCUAGUACCCGGAUCCA
rnacentral:lncRNA from 1 species